GAUCUUAUAGCCUAGUUAGGAGGGUGCUUGCUUUUGAGCAGGAGAUCUAGGUUUGACUCCUGGUAAGGUUC